UGGACACCCAUGUACUCAGAUUCUCAAUCUUCUUAACUUCUUGAUUAAAGGACAAGAGGUUAUUAAUUACUGCUUUACUCUGCUACUGUGGAAAUAUCAGUUUCUUGAUCACUUUCUAGCUGAAUUCCUGUCAUGCCUAAUCAACUAA
rnacentral:lncRNA from 1 species